CGGCAAACUUCCCCCCUUCAUUUCAUUUGAGACAUUUAGACACAGACACCAAACUCCACACACUCGCACAAACUCACUCCACAGUCCACCCACCCCACUCACUGACCUCGGCUGAAACACCUCUCGGCUGCUCAACUUACCUCUCCGUUCAAAUACACAAUCUCUACUGCUGAAAUCACCAGUGAUUAGGUCUUCAAUCGGGGCUGGGGCUUUGAUUGAGAGCUUCUCCAUUUCGCGGAAUUAGGGCUUUUGGUGGCUUCGAUUGAAUUGGGGCUCCAGUGGAAGUAGGGUUCAACAGCGUUUCACUUUAAUUGCAGCUUCGAUUUGCUUUGAUUUAAGAUACAAUCUGCUGUCAUCCUUUGCUUUUCACUUUAAAUGUUUGCUUUGUUUUAGAUUUUAUGUGUAAAUGCAUGUCUAUCUUAGUAGCUUUGUUGUGAUUUGUGGUCAUAUGUUAUAUUACCCAUCCCUCUCCCUCUCCCUCUCCCUCUCUUCCUCUCCCUCUGUGUCCCCUCUGUCUCUCCCCCUUCUUUAUAUCUUGGUGAAUUUGUUAAAGGUGUAGAGCUUGUUGAGUCAAAUUUAAUUUUUGUUUAGUGAAGAUAUGUAUCAAGUUAUUAAACAUGUUAACAGUGUUCAGUAAUCAAUUUUCUAUGAUAUUUCUUAAAGAAUUGUUUCUUCAAGUUCUGUUUCUAACUUAAAAUACAAACUACCAUAUAGAACCAUAUCCAUUAAUGUUGUGAGAUGCAUUCUCUCAAAUCCACAAAUAUAUCACUAUGUACUUCAUUUUUUUCUGGUUUUUUGUGUUCUCGUGAAGUUAUUCAGGUACUGGAAAGUGUUGAAACAACUGCAGAGAAAGCGACCCGAUAGUAGGAGCUUGGUCAGGUGUGUUCAGGAGCUGAGGAUGAAGGGGGCUAGCUUUCAUUUGUUUAAAGAGCCUCUGAAUGCAAAGAGAAUGAAGAGUUCCAGUGUCGAGAUCAAGAGAAAGCCAUUGACAGGGUGUUCUUAGAGUCUCACAACUAUUUGUCUAAUCUGUUUGACUGGCUUGCUCUUCCUGCUUCCAGAAUUAUUCUCUGUGUUUAAAGCUACUUCCAAAUGCAGCCAUACUCCAGGUCCUGAGGCUUCAAUCUUUAAUUUAAUAGAUUUUAUAGAUGAUGCUCAAAUGGCUAAGGCCGAUGACAUUUCAAGGAGCUGUAUGAUGGAAGCAAGGUUCUUGAAAUUUAUGGCUAGAGAAACUAUGUAGCUUCGUUUGAUUUGGUAGUUAUUUUGAUUUGGUUCGAAUUAUUAGGUACUUUAGUUUGUAUAAAGAAACAAUUUAUUGGGAUGUUUAAUAUUUAAAUAGUAUAUUUUCAA